rnacentral:rRNA from 1 species
UAUUGGGCGUAAAGCGUUCGUAGGUGGUUUUGUAAGUCUGCCGUUAAAGCAUGGAGCUUAACUCCAUAUCGGCGGUGGAAACUGCGAGACUAGAGUGUGGUAGGGGUAACAGGAAUUCCCAGUGUAGCGGUGAAAUGCGUAGAUAUUGGGAAGAACACCAGCGGCGAAAGCGUGUUACUGGGCCACAACUGACACUGAGGGACGAAAGCUAGGGGAGCGAAAGGGAUUAGAUACCCCUGUAGUCCUAGCCGUAAACGAUGAACACUAGGUGUUGUCCGUAUCGACCCGGACAGUGCCGUAGCCAACGCGUUAAGUGUUCCGCCUGGGGAGUACGCACGCAAGUGUGAAACUCAAAGGAAUUGACGGGGGCCCGCACAAGCGGUGGAGUAUGUGGUUUAAUUCGAUGCAACGCGAAGAACCUUACCAGGGUUUGACAUCCUCGGAAUCUUCUGGAAACGGGAGAGUGCCUUCGGGAACCGAGAGACAGGUGGUGCAUGGCUGUCGUCAGCUCGUGUCGUGAGAUGUUGGGUUAAGUCCCGCAACGAGCGCAACCCACGUUUUUAGUUGCCAGCAUUCAGUUGGGCACUCUAGAGAGACUGCCGGUGAUAAACCGGAGGAAGGUGUGGAUGACGUCAAGUCAGCAUGCCCCUUACAUCCUGGGCUACACACGUACUACAAUGCUACGGACAGAGGGCAGCCAACCAGCGAUGGUGCGCAAAUCCCAUAAACCGUAGCUCAGUUCAGAUUGCAGGCUGCAACUCGCCUGCAUGAAGGCGGAAUCGCUAGUAAUCGCAGGUCAGCAUACUGCGGUGAAUACGUUCCCGGGCCUUGUACACACCGCCCGUCACACCAUGGGAGUUGGUCACGCCCGAAGUGGUUACCCUAACCGUAAGGAGGGGGAC